UGAACUAGCAAAUAUGGCGAAAGAGAGAGCCACAAGAGACGUGAUCAGCGAUGAAAGGUGCAACGAGAUGAGAGAACAAAGAGAUAAAAAGAGAUAAAAUAAAAUCAACAAACCGUGGAGCCAUCCUGAAACUAUGAAAAAUAGCAUAGAAGUCAGAGCACCAAAAAUCCGAUCUUGAAAACUAAAACGAGCAGAGACUAUUGACGGUAAACCAUCGAAAGGGAAAACAACAUCAAUAACAACUAAACUCUAACCCAACCCAACGAGAUGUAGUUUCUAACCUUAGCCAAAACCUAAGGAAAAAGAUGAUCGUAUUGACCGAAAUAGCAUAUAACGCCGUAAGAAA
rnacentral:lncRNA from 1 species